AUGAGCAGCGAGACGAGCAAGCGAGAUCAUGCACUGGAGCUCCUGGCCGCCGACAGGAAGCUGAUGACCGUGGCCCGUUCGGCGCGACGGCGUCGGCUGGAGCUCCGGCGGCUAGGCCGUACGGCUUCUGCGGCCGCGGAGGACGAGGGUGCGAAGCGGGUGCGGCCGGCGCUGGACAACUCCUCGGACUCGUCUGACUCCGCGAAGGUGGCGCCGAAGCCCCCCUUGGUGGCGUCUAGGUGUUCGGCGUGCGUGUCGCACGGGGCUGUGUCCGUGAUCGGGCGCCGGCGAGAGAUGGAGGACGCGGUGGCCGUCGCGGCGCCGUUCCUGGCCGAGACGGCGGCGGUGGAGGGGAGCGGCGACGUGGAGUACGGGGCAGGGGAAGAGGGCUUCUUCGCGGUGUACGACGGGCACGGCGGGUCGCGCGUGGCGGAGGCGUGCCGGCUGCGGAUGCACCUGGUGCUCGCGGAGGAGGUGCGGCUUCGUCGUCUGCAGCCCUGGGGCGGAGGGCAGGGUCGGACCGAGGACGGCGAGGACGGCGCGCGGUGGAAGGAGGCCAUGACGGCCUGCUUUGCCCGGGUGGACGGCGAGGUCGGCGUCGACGACGGGACCGACGCCGGCGAGCAGACGGUGGGCUCCACGGCCCUCGUGGCCGUCGUGGGCCUGCGCCGCAUCGUCGUCGCGAACUGCGGCGACUCCCGCGCCGUGCUCUCCCGCGGCGGCAUCCCCGUGCCGCUCUCCUCCGACCACAAGUGGUGUGUGGGAACGUUGACGUCUUUCUCUUGUUUUGACGGUACACAGCCAGACCGACCUGACGAAAUGGAAAGAGUAGAAGCAGCUGGUGGCAAGGUCAUUAACUGGAAUGGAUACCGUAUCCUGGGAGUGCUCGCAACUUCUAGGUCAAUCGGAGACUAUUACCUGAAACCAUAUGUGAUAGCGGAACCAGAAGUUACCGUCAUGGACCGGACGGACAAAGACGAGUUCCUCAUACUAGCAAGCGACGGCCUGUGGGAUGUGGUGUCCAAUGACGUUGCCUGCAAGAUCGCGAGAAAUUGCCUAAGUGGGCGCGCGGCCUCCAAGUACCCGGAGUCCGUCCCCGGGAGCACCGCGGCCGACGCCGCAGCGCUGCUGGUGGAGCUCGCCAUCGCACGCGGCAGUAAGGACAACAUCAGCGUCGUCGUGGUCGAGUUGCGGCGACUGAAGAGUAGGGCAGCGGCGGUGAUCAAAGAGAACCGCACCAGGUAG
rnacentral:rRNA from 1 species